ACUUUCUUAGUAUAUUAAGUACCACUGACUUCCAAUCAGUUAGAUCCAAUUACAUCUGGAAGAAAGUA
ensembl:Mt_tRNA